UCCUAUUAGGUUUGUGUAAAAGUAAUUGUGGUUUUUGCCCUUAAAAACAAUGGCAAAAACACAAUUAUUUUUGUACCAACCUACUACCUCCUCAUUCCCUUCU
rnacentral:miRNA from 1 species